AUUAACUAGCAGGUCCACCAACGCAUUUGCGCAGCUAGAUUAAUAUUUAUCUUUUUAGUGUUUAUUUAUUUAAUUCGUUUUUACUUUUUAUAAUAUUUCCAUUUUUUUAUUUUGUAGUCGGAUUUUUUUGUUAGAAGACUACAUUUGGUACAUGUAAAAUCACUAUUACCACGCUGAAGAGAUAAUUUUCUAUUAUGGCAUUCAUGGUGCUUCUCUUAGAUACCGCAUCUACACUUAUUAAUCGUGUUAUUAUGAGCUCUAUCACGGCACAAUAACUAAUUUGUUUUGUUGGUCCUUAUUGGUGGAAGGCCAUAUAAGAUGGUGAUGAGAGGCAUAGUGAUGGACACCUGCCUUAUUUUAGGCAUAGAUUUGAUUUAUUUUCUAUUUUAAUUGACAAAAAGAACAAAUAGUUUGUAUUUUUGAUAAAUUAUUUUUGUUUUUGUUUUCUUAAACACGCUGACUUUUUCUCGUGACACUGCACAUAGAAUUUAAAUUAUUGUUUUUUUGAAAACCUUCUUACGUAUUUUCUUUAGCUUCAUAUAUGCGGUUCUUUUUCUUUAAAUUAACUUUAUGUAUUACCUUAGAUGUUUCAUCAAUUUAUUUCUUAUUAUACCUUGUAAAACUACAUGGUCCUGAUCCUUCCAAUUUAUAAGAAAUUAUGUACAAAUGGACCCAAUUAUGUAGGAAAUGAAUUAUAAAGUCAUAUCUUAUUUUUUACCCCUUUCAAUUCAGGCAACCCAAUGUACGAAUUGCUUCAAAAAAGAAAAUACCUGUUUUAGAGGAGGAAAUGUGUACGCCUCUCCUUUUUUUAAGGGAUGUCGUACUUUUUUGUUUAGAAGAAUAAAUGUGUAUGCCUCUUUUUUUUCUGAAUGGAUGCACGCCUCUCCUUAGUUUCUAGUAUAGCGGAAAAACACAGUCCCCUUCUUUCCUUCAUCAUUAAGGGAAAAAGAAACAGAGUUCGAUGCACCAAAUGUGAGUGCCCUGCCUGUCCAUGGGGAGAUGAUGUACCAAAUCGCAAGUGAAGAUGGUGUAUCAGAUUGAUUUGAUUGCCCGUCCAUGGCCAUAGCAUGUAGGAGAUCAUGUUGCUGGCCAUUUUUUGCCGAGGCCGAUACAUGCGCCGCGGAUCAGGCGUCUCCCAGUGAGGUUUCAUUGUCGCUUAUAUUCAAGUCUAUUGCCGCUGGGAUAUAUAGCUUUGUCUUUGGGUUCGGGUCAUCUUCUGUGUGUCGCUCUUGUUGUCUUAGGCUGCGGAUGUGCUGAUAGCUAUGAUCCCUUUGUACUCUUCCAUUCGCCUCUUGCUGUACAUAAUUUGCUUCAUAAUUUCAUUUAGAUUUAUUUUGUGUUAAAAGUUAAUUCAGGUAUUUUUUUUGUUUGCGGGGAGUUAAUUCAGGUAUUUGGCUAUACUUUUUUUGAAAAUUGUGUUUACAUUUGUACCACUGAUAGUAUUUUGAGAAAUACUAAAAGUUGUUUACUUUGCAGUAUGAAUUUUGGCAUGUAAUUUUUAUAGAUUUUCGUAUUGAUUCAAAAAUGUUUGUCGAUUCUUACUAACCUUGCUGAUUAUCUAGAGGUGAAAAUUCUGAAGGUUUAGAUCAUAUGAUCCUUUGACGAAUGAUGUAUAACUUUCAUCUAUUUUUAAUUUUUUAGGGAAGUAUAAGUUCCAUCUUUUUAAGAGUUUUUUUUCACCGGCCAAAAAAGACCAUUUUUUAAUAGUUUUUGAUGUUUGCUAGGAUCUUUGUAUUUGAUACGGAGAAGUAAAAAAAAAAAUCAUACCCAAUCUUGCACAGCCGAUGUAUCAUGUAUGAUGCCCAACGACUUUGGGCACUCACGUACUUUUGUGCAAGCCCAUUAGAGUGAAGAUGAUUACCACUACGUACUAUAAAAAAAUGUAAGUAAAACAGCCCGUAGUCCCCAGUCCCAGUCAUCUACAUAGACCUCUCUCUCGAUUCUCAAAAAAAAAAAAAAAACAUAGAACUCUCUCUCCUUCCCCCCGUACGAUCCCCACCAGGCUCCUCCUGCACAUCCGCCAUUUCUUCCGAUUUGCCGCCGGCGAAGGACGACGUCGCCGUGCCUCAUCAGGAAACUAAUCCUCAUGCUAUCCCAGAUCCACAUGUCGCUUCCUUUCUCCUGAUUUUUCUUCCUUGGUGGUGGCACAUGUGGCAGGGUGAGUGCGUGGAUCUCGGCGACCUCGUCGAGUCUGGCAACGCGGUCACGGAGAUGUCCAGGGAGAACGUGGGCUACGCUGCUCAAACUUAUCGUAGCCGGAGGCUCUGGAUGUUGGGGCUGCGGAGGCAUUGAGGGAGCUCGCGGAGGAAAAAAUAUCAGCAAGAUGCCAGAAGUGCUUUGGUGUAAAUUCUUCUGACGUUGAUUGGAGCAGUUGGGCUUCGCUUCGUCGGGCGUUCAGCGUGGUUUGGCGUGGCUUUGUCGGACGUUGAGUGAAGCAGCUGGGGGUGGCUUUUUCGCCUGGACCUCGAGUCGCGUCUGGCGUAUUCGAGUCAUCGUGGUUGCCGGCUUGUAAUUGUUCGGUGUGUACUUGUGCGGCCGUCUGUACUUGUUUACUUGUACAUGUAUAUAUAUAUUCUUACUUGUGCGGC